rnacentral:rRNA from 1 species
UAAGGGCGCACGGUGGAUGCCUUGGCACUAGAAGCCGAUGAAGGACGUUACUAACGACGAUAUGCUUUGGGGAGCUGUAAGUAAGCUUUGAUCCAGAGAUUUCCGAAUGGGGAAACCCAGCAUGAGUUAUGUCAUGUUAUCGAUAUGUGAAUACAUAGCAUAUCAGAAGGCACACCCGGAGAACUGAAACAUCUUAGUACCCGGAGGAAGAGAAAGAAAAUUCGAUUCCCUUAGUAGCGGCGAGCGAAACGGGAAGAGCCCAAACCAACAAGCUUGCUUGUUGGGGUUGUAGGACACUCUAUACGGAGUUACAAAGGACGACAUUAGACGAAUCAUCUGGAAAGAUGAAUCAAAGAAGGUAAUAAUCCUGUAGUCGAAAAUGUUGUCUCUCUUGAGUGGAUCCUGAGUACGACGGAGCACGUGAAAUUCCGUCGGAAUCUGGGAGGACCAUCUCCUAAGGCUAAAUACUCUCUAGUGACCGAUAGUGAACCAGUACCGUGAGGGAAAGGUGAAAAGCACCCCGGAAGGGGAGUGAAAUAGAACCUGAAACCGUGUGCUUACAAGUAGUCAGAGCCCGUUAAUGGGUGAUGGCGUGCCUUUUGUAGAAUGAACCGGCGAGUUACGAUUUGAUGCAAGGUUAAGCAGUAAAUGUGGAGCCGUAGCGAAAGCGAGUCUGAAUAGGGCGUUUAGUAUUUGGUCGUAGACCCGAAACCAGGUGAUCUACCCUUGGUCAGGUUGAAGUUCAGGUAACACUGAAUGGAGGACCGAACCGACUUACGUUGAAAAGUGAGCGGAUGAACUGAGGGUAGCGGAGAAAUUCCAAUCGAACCUGGAGAUAGCUGGUUCUCUCCGAAAUAGCUUUAGGGCUAGCCUCAAGUGAUGAUUAUUGGAGGU